AGGCAAGAUGGAUCAAAGUCAGAGUGGUGGUCAUGUUCCUGGAGGUUGCAAGAAGGAUGCCAAGGACAAGAAAAAGAAAUAUGAACCUCCUGUACCGACUAGAGUGGGGAAAAAGAAGAAGAAAACAAAGGGACCAGAUGCUGCCAGCAAAUUGCCACUGGUGACACCUCACACUCAGUGCCGGUUAAAAUUGCUGAAAUUAGAGAGAAUUAAAGACUACCUUCUCAUGGAGGAAGAAUUCAUUAGAAAUCAGGAACAAAUGAAACCAUUAGAAGAAAAGCAAGAGGAGGAAAGAUCAAAAGUGGAUGAUCUGAGGGGCACCCCAAUAUCAGUAGGAACCUUGGAAGAGAUCAUCAAUGACAAUCAUGCCAUCAUGUCUACAUCUGUGGGCUCAGAACACUACAUCAGCAUUCUGUCAUUUUUAGACAAGGAUCUGCUGGAACCUGGCUGCUCAGUCCUGCUCAACCACAAGGUGCAUGCCGUGAUAGAGGUGCUGAUGGAUGACACGGAUCCCCUGGUCACAGUGAUGAAGGUGGCAAAGGCCCCCCAGGAGACCUAUGCCAAUACUGGGGGCUUGGACAACCAAAUUCAGGAAAUGAAGGAAUCUGUGGAGCUUCCUCUCACCCACCCUGAAUAUUGUGAAGAGAUGGGUAUAAAGCCUCCUAAGGGGGUCAUUCUCUAUGGUCCACCUGGCACAGGUAAAACCUUGUUGGCCAAAGCAGUAGCAAACCAAACCUCAGCCACUUUCUUGAGAGUGGUUGGCUCUGAACUUAUUCAGAAGUACCUAGGUGAUGGGCCCAAACUCGUACGGGAACUGUUUCGAGUUGCUGAAGAACAUUCACCGUCCAUCGUGUUUAUUGAUGAAAUUGACUCCAUUGGGACAAAAAGAUAUGACUCAAAUUCUGGUGGUGAGAGAGAAAUUCAGUGAAACAAGGUUGGAACUAUUGAACCAGUUGGAUGGAUUUGAUUGUAGGGGAGAUGUGGAAGUGAUGGCCACAAACCGAAUAGAAACUUUGGAUCCAGCACUUAUCAGACCAGGCCGCAUUGACAGGAAGAUCGAGUUCCCUCUGCCCGAUAAAAAGACUAAGAAGGGCAUCUUUCAGAUUCACACAAGCAGGAUGAUGCUGGCCGAUGAUGUAACCCUGGACGACCUGAUCAUGGCUAAAGAUGACCUCUCUGGUGCUGACAUCAAGGCAAUCUGUACAGAAGGUGGUCUGAUGGCCUUAAGAGAAUGUAGAAUGAAAGUAACAAAUGAAGACUUCAAAAAUCUAAAGAAAAUGUUCUUUAUAAGAAACAGGAAGGCACCCCUGAGGGGCUCUAUCUCUAGUGAACCACAGCUGCCAUCAGGAAAAUGGGAAAUUUGUCAAUCCCUGAAAGAGAUGAGGUUGGGGAGUUGCCCAGAGGAAUCCCUGUUCCCAUUGGUUUUUAUUAGCAAAACAUCCUGUG